rnacentral:tRNA from 1 species
GGAGGUUGUGGCUCAGUGGCAGAACAUGUGUUCUGUAUGCAGAAGGUCCCAGGUUCAACCCCCAGCGUCUCCA